CUAUUGGUUACCUGAUUAUUACUGCCAUUUGUGGCAGAUGGCAGUGCACAAACACACUGGACUCAUUUCUACAUCAAAACUGUGGCUUCACUUGUAACAUUAGCAGCUUUGGGAUCUCUUAAAAUGAAGGGUGUUCCACUAACAGCAGCAGCAGAGAUAGGCUCUGUUUCUUGGAGGACACAACUACAAGAUCAAAUUCAAGAGGACAACUAAUCAUAGAAAUGCUGAUGGAAUGCCCUGUUUACCCUUGGAAAAAUAAAUUUACAAAAGAGUUAAAAAAAUUUAUAAUCAAAGUACAUAUAAGGUUACAUGUAAAAGUACAUGAAUGGUAUACAUCAUAUGUGAGUGCCUCACUAAAAAGAAAACUAAGUUGACAAGUUAUCCUGGCUCCAAUGUGUUUCUUUCAAUUAGCUUCUGGAGUUCAACUGAGAGGUGAUCUAAUUGAAACACAAGAAGAAACCAGAGAAACAGAGAAAAACAAAAUCAGUAAAAGGAGAGGGAGAGGGGGACGUGACAUAACCAUGGCUGGUACGGGCAGCAUUUUACCCAAUGCAUUUCUAAAACAUCAAACUAUUUUGAUCCAGUGGGGUAUUGAACUGAAAUACAGCAAAUACAUUUAAAUAAAAAACUAUGUAAAAUAUACCAUAAAACAGCAUUAUUGUCAAUUAGAAAUGAUGUAUUAAUUUCAAUUAAUAUUCCAGCUAAAGAUUAAGACUGUUUUUUGUAAUGACUAAACAUACUCAAUGAUUUCAUAUUCCACCCAAAAUAGGUAUGAACUGGUGUUGUGUGCAUUGUACACAUUGUUACAACUAUUAUUAUUUCUUUGUUUAUUUCUGCAUGCUAUUUAAUUACAGAAUGUUUACUGGUCCCACUAUAAAAAAGCUUUGUAUAUUGAUAGCUUGCUAACAUUUUGAUAACACUGUUUUCAUUGUGCUCAUCAGUCCCGCUGCUCAAUCAUUUUAAAUAAUUUCACUUAUGUUCUUAUAUGGAUUUGCCACAAUCACAAAUUUAAAAAAUGAGUGUGAUAUAAAGGUCCUUUAAUUGCAGGCAUAAAGCCAUUGCCCAGUGUAAUUAUGGGUUAUACUUUCAGCAUCACCAUUCUAUAAAAGUGUUUCAUUCAAUCAUAGAACCAGAAUUGCCUAUUAAACCCCAAGCAUUCAAUAAGUGACAAUAACACAAUAAAUUCCCUUUUGUCAAGUACUUAUACCAAAGAAGCAACUAAAUGGCUAACUCUUCUACUCUAUCCCUGCUCUACUCACUUUAUACUUAUGACUGUAAGGCUAAGCACAGCUCCAAUACCAUAUUUAAGUUUGCUGUUGACACCAUUGUUGUUGGCCAAAUCAAAGGUGGUGAUGAAUCAGCUUAUAGGAGGAAGAUGGAAUAUCUGGUUGAGUGGUGCCACAACAACAACCUCCGUCUCAAUGUCAGCAAAACCAAAGAGCUGAUUAUCGACUGCAGGAAGAGGAAACCAGAAGUCCAUGAGCCAAUCCUCAUUGGGGGUCAGUGAUGAAGAGGGUCAGUAACUUUAUAUUCCUUGGCGUUAUCAUUUUGAAAGAUCUGUUCCUGGAUCCAGCACGUUACUUUCUGAGAUAUUUGUGUAGAUUUGGCAUGUCAUCUAGGCCCCCACCAUCCAGGCCAUGCUCUCUUCUUGCUGCUGCUAUUAAGAAGCACUCAUCCCAACACCGAACUGAUUCCACAACCUAUGGACUCAUUUUCAAGGACUCUAUCAUUCAUGUACUGAAUAGUAUUUAUUACUUAUUUAUCUAUUAUUAUUACUAUUUACAUUUUGUUUUUGUAUUUGCGUAACCUGUUGUCUUUUGCACGUUGGUUGUUUGUAGUUUUUCUUUGAUUCUAUUGUGCUUCUUUGUAUUUACUGUAAAUGUCCACAAAAUUAAAUAUCACGGUUGUAUAUGGUGACAUAUAUGUACUUUGAUAAUAAAUUUACUUUGAAUUUCUAUUUUUGUUUGAAUGUUAUCUAAAUUAAAAGAAAAGGAGCUGAAUGAAUUAUGGCUUUUCAUGACAAACAGGAGUGUACUGAUAAGUUAGUAAUUGGUGAACUUAAGAAGUAGUUCUGUUUGCAGGCAAAAGAAAAUAUAGAAUUAAUUAUGCUAAAUCAUCAAGGCAGAUAUUGUUGAUAGGUUGAGAUAGCAGGAGAAGGAGCCUAAACAUCAACAUAAAACCACUGGACAGAAAGUACUGUAAUUAUACAUACGAUUACAUCAUGCAUUGACACCAUAAAUCUUAAGAUAACACAGCUAUUUAAAAACAAAACUGACCUUAUGCUAUAUAACCUGACUUGAAGAUCAGGCAUUAAAAUAUUUAAGUCAUCACACAUAAAAUUUUUAGAUCCACUAUUUCCACAGUGAUCUUAACCCAUUUGUAAUAUUGUACAACAUAGCUUCAAAAUGUGUGAAACACCCGACAGCAUCAAGGAAAUUAUCUACAGCAGGGGAAUAGGGGUGGGUUAGAUAAUUUGGAAACAUUCAUUCUUAUCAUUUCUAGUCGUCUGUAUAUAUGAGAGGACAUUAAUAGUGGCCCUUCUGGUUGUUGAAUGAUAUGCUUUUUCUUACAGACAUGGUUACACUGUGUGCUGCAUCUUUUUAUGACUACAUAUUUCUUUUUGUGUUGAGAAAAUAAAGUCCACAAAUUGUAAUAUGUUUGUCAGGUUCAGGCUCAAUUAAGAAGCAAACUGCAUUCUACAAAUGUUCAGAAUUGGACACAUGCAGAGUAUGAACCGGUGUUAAUAAAUUGUUCAUCACAAUCCUGUGUCUCACAAUAUGACAAAGAAUUAUAUAAUUUUUAAGGACAAAGAUAUUAUACCUUUUUAAGUAAAAGAUAUAGUACAAUUCUGAAGUGGAAAUUAUGAAAAACAAGUCACCAUCCACCUCAAGCAAACGUAAAAGAGGCCAUAGCAUUGUUCAAAGAAGAUGUGUGAAGUUCUCCUCUAUAAUUUGCUCAAUAUUUAUGCUUCAAUUUACACCACAAAAUUCUGAUCAUCAUUUCAUUGCUGUUUGCUGGGUGAAAGCUAGCUAGCUGCCCCCUUUGCUGCAUUACAACAGUGACGAUAAUUUGACUGUAAAACACUCUGGGGAUUCUGGGAUCACAUAAGGAAUUGUUAAAAUAAAAGGUCUCUUUCUCUAGGCAUAUGUCAUUAUGGCCAAUUAGUGCUUUUGCUCUGAAAUGGGGAUUGAUGAGAUCAGAAAAUCUCAUCAAUAAUAAUAACUUGGUCAAGUAAUAAAGGAAUAAACUUUAAGUGUUUCAUUGUUACUGAAAAGUGUUCAAAGUUCAAAGUAAAUGUAUUUUGAAAGUACCUACAUGUCACCAUAUACAACCCCGAGAUUUGUUUCCUUACGAGCAUAUACAGUAAAUCCAAGAAACAUAUUAGAAUCAGUGAAAAUAAAUGCAAAUGCUUUGAGAGGCUGGUCAAGGAUUAAAUCUGCAGCAUGCUGCCACUCACACUGGACUCCCUACAAUUAGCCUACCGACACAACUGAUCGAUAGCCAUAGCUCUACAUCUGGAGAAGAGGGAUGUUUAUGUGAGAAUGAUGUUCUUGGACUACAGUUCAACAUUCAACACCAUAAUUCCCUCCAGCUCAACAAGAAGCUCAGAGACCUCGGCCUUCACGCUGUCUUGUGUAGCUGGAUCUUUGAAUUCCUGUCAGAUCGCUGGCAGGUGGUAAGAGUGGACUCCCAACACAGCUGCCCCUCAGGGCUGUGUCCGAAGCCCCCUCCUUUACUCUCUGUAUACUCAUGACUGUCUCCACCCACAGCUCUGUACUGCUAAUUAAAUAUGCUGACGACACUAUGUUGAUUAGCCUAAUCUCAAAUAAUAAUGAGUAAGCCUACAGAGAAGAAGUCACCCUGACACAGUGCUGUCAAGAAAACAACCUCUCCCUCAAUGUCGCAAAAACAAAGGAGUUGGUUAUGGAUUACAGGAGGAAUGGAGACAGGCUAACCCCCAUUGACAUCAAUGGAUCUGGGGUUGAGAGGGUGAACAGCUUUAAGUUCCUCGGCAUACACAUCACCGAGGAUCUCACGUGGUCUGUACAUACUGGCUGUGUGGUGAAAAAGGCACAACAGCACCUCUUACAGUUGAAGAAGUUUGGUAUGGCCCCCUCCCCCCCUCCAAAUUCUAAGGACUUUCUACAGGGGCACAAUUACGAGCAUCCUCAAUGGCUGCAUCACUGCCUGGUAUGGGAACUGUACUUCCCUCAAUCACAGGACUCUGCUGAGAGUGGUGUGGACAGCCCAGUGCAUCUGUAGAUGUGAACUUCCCACUAUUCAGGACAUUUACAAAAACAGGUGUGUAAAAAGGGCCUGAAGGAUCAUUGGGGACCUGAAUCACCCCAACCCCAAACUGUUCCAGCUGCCACCAUCUGGGAAACAGUACCGCAGCAUAAAAGCCGGGACCAACAGGCUCUGGGACAGCUUCUUCCACCAGGCCAUCAGACUGCUUAAUUCAUGCUGACACAACUAUACUUUUAUAAAUUACUAUAAUUGCACAUUGCACAUUUGAACGGAGGCGUAACGUAAAGAUUUUUACUCCUCAUGUAUAUGAAGGAUGUAAGUAAUAAUUCAAUUCAAAAGACUGCACCCAAUAGGACACAAACUGUGCAAAUAUGAACAGAAAAAAAUAAUAAAUAAGCAUUAAAUAUCAAGAAUAUGAGGCAAAGAACCCUUGAAAGUGGGCCCAUAGGCUGCAAUUCAACCAGUCAAUAUAUUCUCCACGAUAACCUAUAGAAGCUUGACAAAGUUUUAGAUGUCAUGCUGAAUCUUCACAAGCUUCUAAGGAAGUAUAGGUGCUGCUGUGCUUUCUUCAUAACCGCACUUAUGCACAGUCCCAGGCCAGAUCCUUUAAAAUGAUAACACCAAGGAAUUUAAAGUUGCUAACCCUCUCCACCUUUGACCCUCCAAUGAGGACUGGCUCACAGACCUCUGGUUUCCUCCUCCUGAGUUCAAUAAUCAGCUCCUUGGUCUUGCUGACACUGAGCGAGAAGUUACAUACACUAAUUUUCAUAUACAUUAAUAAACAUUUUUAAAAUAAAACUGAUGGUAACAGUAUUAAUAUAUUGUUAAUGCACCUACAUUUCCCUUAAUUGAAUGUUUUGACAGACUUUCCAAAGGAAAUCAAGAGACAUAAAGCUAUUGCAGGAAAAAUGUUUCAAUAAAAAAAUCGGCAUGAUUUUAUUGAAUGACAGAACAGGCAUGAGGGGCUGAAUGGCCUGCUCUAUUUCUUAUGGUUUAAUUCAGCUGUUGUAAAGAUUAUUUAUUAUCCAAUGAAGACAAAAUGAAGACAAAAUUAUAAACUUCAUCCUUCACCUUUUGAUUAUGUGUCCAUUAGUACGUGUGAACAGCUGUUCAGUUUUUAAUGGAAACUUGACUGAUUCAUAACUGUUGUUGAUUUUUAUACAAUGGGUGUUGAUAUACUUUGCUGUGGUUUUAACAUAUCUUUAGCUUUACAGACUUCAUUCACCAACUUGGUACUUUCUUUUGUUAGUGUAAUGCUCAUUCUUGCAAAACAGGGGGAUUGGGCUAGUCAGUUCUUAUAAAUGAAAACUGAUAGCUAAUUUAUACUUUAAAUAAUUAACACAUAAAGAAAGACUGUCACAUGGGAUGGCCAGGGACACAGUUCAGAAGUAAUGAUGUUAGGGUUAAAUUAAACAUUUAAAAUGUUGAUAGUCAAUUCUCCUUGUAGAAAUUUAGGGCUAAUUGAAUCAUGGAAUAUCACAUCCUAAUGGAUAUUUUUCUCCUUUAGUCAUUAAACAUUUGCAAUUGGUUAAAAAUACAAAAAUAAACGCUACCAUUGUCUUACUACCAAAAGUCUUCCUCUGCUAUUAAUAGAUAGGAAAGGUAAAGAGGGUAAUACGCCCAAUAUGGGCAAAUGGAAUUAGUGUAGAUAUGCAUCAUGGUUGGCAUGGACACAGUGUGCCCAUUUCAGUGCUGUUCAUUUCUAUGACUCUAUAAUCAUUAUCAGUAUAUGACUGAAGAUUUGCUUUCUUUAAUAUUUCUGCUGAAAUUAUUGGUGUGAUUUAGAACUUUGAUUGUGCUUGACACAGGAAACAAUAAUUAAUAUUAGUAGUUGUUUUCUGUUGUUGAUUUAAAACUGUUCAAAUAGAUAAAAAAUUGUACAAACCCCAUUUCCAGAAAAGUUGGAAUAUUUUCCAAAAUGCAAUAAAAACAAAAAUCUGUGAUAUGUUAAUUCAUGUGAACCUUUAUUUAACUGACAAAAGUACAA